rnacentral:tmRNA from 1 species
GGGGACGCCAGGAAUCGAUGGCUUAGUUCUUUUAUAGCCGCAAGCCUCCGUUGACCAUACGGGGUAAAACAGGUCAAAAAACAACUGUCAAUAAAGAAGACGGAAUAGUUGCCCAGGGUGUCGGACUCCUCAAGGGUCUUACAGCCAAAGCAGCUCCUGCUUACGCUUUUGCCUAAUUUUGGCUAAAGCUUAACAGCAUCCAAGGGAACAAUGAGCUCCAGGUUGCCUCUUGGGUGUGUAAACACUGGAACUGAAUGCCACUUCUCUGGUUUAGGGAUUUGGACUAACUUAUUCUAAACCGAGCCUGUUUCGUUCUUGUUUGUGAGGAGGGACAGGUUUUAAACACAAACUAAGCUUGUAGAGACUAUAGAUGUUUCUAUGUCAGACGAGGGUUCAACUCCCUCCGUCUCCACCA